AAACUUAUGAUACUUUCGAUAAUACAGACGGAGCCUGCUAUUGAGCAGGCUCCAGAGAUUGUUGAUGUCAAGGAGGAAGAGGAAGAGGAAGAGGAAGACAAUAAUGAAGCUACCUCUCAUGCAAGGGGAUGUAAUUGUUUUAAAGACAGGCAAGGGAAUUGCAGCAUAACCUAUUACAGCGACUAAGCUGCAAGUUCAAAGACAAAAAAAAAAGAUGGAAGACAAGGACACAUUUUUUAUAUGUAUAUUCAAAAG